CAGAGAGAACCAGAGACUGCCCGGAAGGGGAACAUAUCACGAGGGAGCCCCCAAAUUGUUAUAAAUAAAGUUUCGGUGCUGCAAAAGAAAUAGCACUCGAAUAUAAAAUUUUCUUUUUAAUUUUCAGCAAGGCAAUGUACUUCUAUAGAAGGGUGCACCCUUACAGAUGGAGCAAUGAAAAAGUUAACUGUAAAACAGUCUCAGAGAGGUCCUUCAGGAGGUGUCCAGAAGAAGGACAGUGAUCAUAGGAGAUGCAGCUUCAUGGGUGGCCUUGCCCCUGAAGACCUCCCAGUGGGACCAGAUGUCAGAAGACAGUGAUAUUGGUGAUCCU
rnacentral:lncRNA from 1 species